UACUCAGAAAGGCAAUUAGUUGUACUCUGCCAGACAUGCACACCAAUCGUGGGGAAAGAGAAAAGUACAGUCAGAAGUAACUGACAUACAAAGCAACAGCUUUAUCUUUGUAGCGGUGAGUACAACUACCCCUCACACUUUUAAAACUCACCGCUAUAUUGUUAACCCUUCAAAGCAGCUUGCACUGAAUAUCUUUGUUUCACUUGUUCACUGAGUGGACUCAUGAUUCUGGCACAAUGAAAACUCUUUAUUGACCUUCUGGGAAUACAAUUUAUUCCUGAGAAGACACCAUGAAGAUGGACGUGUAAAAGAAUUUUGUGACUGGAAUAGUCCUGUAAUGCAUGACAGGAAUGUGAUUUCUUACCUGGCUGUAGUGGAAAUAAGCUGCAUGCAAACACUAAAUUUUCCUUUUUAUUUUUUUUUAAUGCUGAAGGGGAAUUUUGUUAGAGGGCAUACUGUCAGUUUCUAUAGAUAAUGUUUUAUAACGCUCCCUUUUCCUCACUUGAUUUUUCUGCAGGUAGACACACGCACAAAACCAAAACAGGAAAACAUUACAAAUUCAUGCUUUUCCCCCCCUCUUAUACCGCUUUCCUCAGCAUUUGCACCCUGAUGAGGACAUACACUGACCGCUGGGCUAUCUCAGACCUCAGAGGCCCUUUCAGUCUGGGGGUUGAAGCCCACCUGCAGCAGCACCAUGCACUGACAGCACUGCCCCCAGCCUCUCCUGGAGCCCUCACCUCCAUAGCAUCUGACAGGUCUAUAUGUGUUUGUAUCUUUGCUGCCAAAACCCUUCCAAGCAUGGGUCACUUCCAUUCCUGACUCACAGUGUUUGCUGAUCUGGAGUUAUUAGAGGACACUGUGUUAGCCCUGAAGGCUGCUGGAUACAUACCAAGGGGGAAACCUCACUGGGUUGUUCAAGUAGUCAACUGCACCCAGAGGAAGAUAUUGAGAGGAUACAGUAAGUGGAUAACUGUGCUCCUCUUUUCCUCCCCAGAGAAGCCCUCUAGUUCUCUUAGAUUGCAGAGAAGUGGCAUAGAGUAAAACAGAUGGGCUUGGUAAAAAGCCUGGGACAAUGCUUAAAAAUGCCAGUGGAGAUGCGGGGGAAAGCACUGUGCCUUUCACUGUCUUCGGGGAUUUCUACACAACAGAUCUGUUGAGGAAAAGGCAGAGAACGAGAACUACCCGCAAGUUUUUUGCGACUGUUCCCAUUCAAGGAAACAAGAGAGAUGCAAGUUUUACAGGAAUACCUGAGUGUGCAUUCCAGUUUGCUGAGUUUUAUUGCUGCUGCUGUGCUAAGCAUCCAAAUCUCACCCAAAAAGGGGCAUUUUCUUCAUGAGUGUCAAAAACCUUAAACCCCACUUAAGCAUGGAAGCAAACAGAUUGAUAAGAUGCAGUCCCUGAAGAUUCUUCCCAGAGCCUGAAACUAAGGAUAUAAUAAAGUAAAACUGGAAUUAGAAUACAAGUGCUUUUUCUUUAGAAUGUAAUGAAAUCCUACAGUGCUGGCCCUGCUUAGUUUGCCUCUAUGCAUUCAAUGUUAAACAUUAGCAAAUUAUUUCAAUGCUGACUAGGAACAAAAUAUGCAUGAGGUAUCCUUGUACAAAGUUGUAGGCAGUGUCUGUACUACAACUGUUUGUAAUAGAGGUAGAUCAGCUAUAAAUAGGGUAAGGAAAGAGUUAUAAAGCAUAAGCAAUGAUGUUCACUGGAAUGAUGGCAAAAAUUCAGAUGUUUGCUUCACAGGUGCUCCUGCCAUCUUUUCUGAAGGGUUGAAUUAGAAGGAAAACAGAUAAACAGAUGGGUUACAUUAUGCAAUGUUGAAGUGGCUCAAAAGUCAUCAGCUUAAAGAAAAGAUCCCUUUGAUACCUACAUUUUCCUUUUCUUUUCCUCUCUUCCAAGUGUUUUAUCUCUUCUUCUUGUCAAAACAAAACACCAAACCCCUGAGUAUUAAGGGUCACUCCACACUCCUAAAAUACAUCUUUUACCAUCUCCAUAACUAUCUCAAAACUAUUGCACAGCCAUUACUAGCAGAAAAAAAUCCCAUCAGGUGGUAAGAAAAAAGGAGGAAUUGUUUAAGUGAAAGCUCAGCUCAUAGUUCUUCCUUCAGCUCCUGACUUGACUUUGACUGCUGUAUCUUCCUCAAAGAUUGAAGGAAUUUGUAGUGGUGGUUGUUGACGAUAUAAGAAGCAGCUCAGUCCAGCCUGACUGGAGAGUGUCAUGCCCAAUCCAUACACAAGUCUGCUGUCAAGCAGCCACCUGGGCUGUACUCCCACCCUGGCACCUGAGAAACACCCCAAAAUCCUGACUCUUGCAUUAUAUCUCAGUGUCUAGCAGGUCUGCCCACAAGAGAGGGAAGCCUGCAAUGUUUCAGGCAUUCACAACCAUCCUUUGUUGGAUUGGGGCCCAGUGCCAGGAUUUGUGCUAUCUUAUGCUGGCAUGGACCAAUAUUGGAAUCCAACCCUUGAUAUUUAAUUAAGAACAGUAUUUGGAGCAUCUGUUUGCAAAAGCAGUCAGAGUGUAUUCAGAUAAUGAGCACUUCGCAGCAUGUUGUGAGGCCAUGCAUUUUGUUAUUUAGGCUUUCUUGGAACUGAAUUCCCUGCAAAUAUACAAAGGAUGAAUUAGAAAUAGAGUCUAAAUGUUCUUUCUUCUUCUGACCCCCAACACAGUAAUGACUGUAUGGAAACGGACAGAAUUACACUGAGAAAAUGUCUUGUGAGCCAUCUGAUAAACCUAAAAUUAGAGCACUGGUUAGACUAAAGAAAUGGCUCAGGAAGUCAAAUCACUUAAGCUGAACAGAAAAGCAUAGAAGGAAGGAUGCCAGAGCAGUAAGAAACAAAAAAACAUAGCUUGAAUUAUCCUUCCUUAUUCAUUAUUAUAACUUUGAUUUGAUGGGUUUUUUUCUGAGAAGUGAGUGAGUCUUCAAACUACAAGAACAUAAUUACUGAUUUACACAGGGAAUAUAAUGUUUUACACUAUAGAAGUUCUAUAGAAGUGAAAUGAGAGUUGUUUCAAAGUACAGCACAUUAAACCCACACACUGUAGAAUAAUAUAAAUGGUCUCAGCUAGAUUUUGUUUCUGAUUACAUCUUUUGCUGAGCAACAGAACCUGAUGGACUGUCAUUAACUCAAGAAUCUAAAAACACUGGUUAGUAGAUGAAUAAACCCUGCUUACUCCCUUAAACAGUUAUUAGUAGAUGCACUUUGACGUCUGACUUUGAUUGUUACACUCUUUCUUUAGGAAAUUGUGAUGAGGACCUUCUUCUGUGCUACAAUGAACAACAGAAAUGAGGAUCUGAUGCAUAAGUAUGUGUACCUGCAGCUGUGCACAACCUGUGAGACCUGAUGGCUGCCAGCUCCCAUGCUCAGGUAGGGACACUGACAACCUACUAAGGAGUUUACAAGGAUAGAAGCUAAUCCAGCACUGACUUUUGCUUUCACAGGUAGGAACCCAGGUUCUCAUUCUGGAGGGCAGCUGUGACAUCUUUCUGGGGAAAGGUCUCCAACACCAGGUCCCUGCCAUUCAAUUAUCCAAGAUUUUCAGGGAUCUGUCCUCUAGUCUUGGGGCAUAGUGGCUACAGGAUCCCAUCUAGAUUUGUCAUGUGCUGCAAAUGAAGAGAGAUAUGUUAGUAAUGGAGAGCCAGUAGUCUUUUAGAUAGUCCUGUGUCUCUUACCAUCCCAAGUUAAUUUCCCCCCUCCCAUACCUUGACCAUGCAAUUAAAUGGUUUGAAUACUAUGUUUUCAAAUUAAUGGGUUUGUGUUUUUUGCUAAACCCAAACGGGAUUAGAACACUGAGUGUAAAUGUUAAAUAUAAUCACAGACCACAGGUGCCCUUAAACUGUCUUUGACACAGAGAAGAAACUUGUUUUCUCCAUUUUCUUACUUAGACCACUGUGGGAGACAGCAAAGAAAACAUCACAUAUUUAUUUUGAUAUAUCAUAGAGAGUAAGCUGUGGGGUGCUGUAAAACACUGUUAAAUGCAAAUAUAUUUUGGGAAGGAUGAUUAGAUUUAAUAAGGGUAUUUAAAAACAGCACUAAAUAUGUCACUGGCAAUACAAAUAGAUCAAUUCUGUUAUUUUUAAAUUAAACUGAUAUAAGUAUUUACAUUUAUUUUUAAUUUUUUUUUUUUUUUUUUUUUGCUUUUAGAAUAAAGGAACAAAGAUCUAGGUUUACAUUACAGAAGGGACAGUGAGGAUUCCCUGUUUGCUCUCCAGAGUUUUUUAAGCCUGAUAUUUUGAACCAAUGAGUUCAACAGAAACAGGAUAGCCAUGGAUCACAAAUGAGAAACCAGAUACAUAUGUACAUAUGGAAUUAAUAAGAUGAUUAAUAUCACUUUCUUGUACAUUUCAAAGAAAAUCUGUUGUGUCCUGCACAGAAGUGUCUGUUUUGAUGGGAACAGUUAUCACCUAUCCCACAGCUUCUUUACAUGGUUUCAGCAGGAAAAAAAAUUACAGUUUCUAUCUAGGAUAGUCAUUAGAAAUCACAUUUAACAAGGAACAAAGGGCCCUAGGUCAAGCUGUGAAUGCCCAGACACAACCCAGCCUUCUAGUAGGAUGUGCUUUCACACAUGCAUUUGGCAGAGCCAGUGGAAGCAGUCCCAUGACUCCCACCCCUCUCUCCCAGGCCUGUGUUGUCCGUGGCCAUGCUUAGAAAGAUUAUUUCUAUGACUGUGCAAUGAGCUGGCUUAGUGGACAGGUCUUAGUUAGAGAUCAUGCAGGAAAAAAAAAAAAAUAGAAAGAAAAAAGUUAUUUUUCAGCCUCCCUGCCCAGCUGGCAGAAGCAGGUUCUUGGCAGUGCAUCCAGGGAUGUUCACAUCCCCAGCUGCUUGCAGCAGCUCCUGUGAAACCAGAGCCUCACUGCAAAACUCCUCUUCUGAAGACUAGGAAAGAGUAAGGGGCAUGCUAUUAGCUCACUUUGUCCACCCUAGUGUUUCCUGAAAUAGAAGAGCGCCAAUCUGGUUCAGGGGAGCUGGAAAAGGGAUUGUGUGAUAAUGGAAAUGAUGGUAGUGCCAGCCCCAAGCAUUCAGAAAUCCUGAGUUGGGCUGGCAAAAGUCUUAAGGUCUUUAAAAAUAAGAAAGGUAGUAUUUCUUUUAAUUCUUGAUGCAGUCUUAACCUUUAGGGUACAUGAGAUACUGAAUGCACAUCUUCUUAGACUUUUCAGAUGGACUAGACUGAUAUAACCACAAACGAAGAUUUACAUACUGCUCAGAAAAUAUAACCAGCCUUUUCUUGGUGGCUCUUUAUUUACCCAGCAUAUCUGACACUUACGAAUCAGAAAACUGAAUCUGACCCUGAUAACUUAACCAAAACUUACCAGGCUGCUGUGGUGGGGCUGGCCAUGAUUCCUUGCUGCCAGCUCCAGAUGAGGUCCCUGAGCUGCAGGCACCCAGUGCUGGUGGGUCCUGGGCCACUGAUCUGCUGGUGUGCCACACAUCCCAUUUGGGGUCACAUCCUGCUCCAAAGCCUGCCAAGUAAGUUGUCCUCUGCACUCUGCUGAUUUGAUUUUGCAAAUCUUCUGAAGAUCAAAACCUCCCAUGAACCAGUAAGUUUCAGAUAAUGUAUAUCUCCUCUUGGGUUUAUGGGUGAUCAGAGAAUGUCCAUUUGCAUUAUUUAUUAUGCAGUUGAGGUGUUUUGACAAAGUUGGAAAAUCGGCAAUCAGGAGACAGUUCCAGCUCAGCACUGCUGAUGGUCUGAGAGAAAUCACAAGAAUUAUUACACUGGGUGAAAAUCUGCAGCUCAGCACAUACAGAACUGCCCGUACAUACACACAGAUCUGUAUCUUACAUUGAGAUAUGCAGUUUUUACUACUAUAAUUUAAGUGUCAGCUUUCUUCUUCCCUCCCUUCCAGUGUGUUCUCAUACUGCUUGGCCUCAUGCAGACCUGUCCAAAAGCUUGCUAAAAGAAAACAAACAUUGAUUUCAGGUGGAUGAAUACAUGAUUCCCAGCCAAAACCACUUUGCCUUGCACAGUACUUCUGUUUUGCAUUGUGAGCCAUUACAUGUACCUGUGAACAAUGGGCUAAGCAGUCACAGCCUGUUUUAUGCAGGAUCUGGCCACACCAGUGCAGAGGGCAUCGCUGGGUUCCCAUGGUGGGAGGGCAGUGGUGCAGUGACCUCAGCUCCAAAGAUGUAAAUGUCUGUACCAGAUGUGAGGUGAAGGAGUUUGUGCUGGGUUUUUUCAUAGGGGAGAAGCAAAGGUAUCAGACACUAAAAGAACUUCUGAGCUACAUUUUAUUUGUACUUGUUCAGCACAAAGAGAAGCACAAUUCUGGCCAGUCUCUACAAGUGAACCUAUUAAUAAUGCCUAACACCAGAUUGAUCAUGCAGUGGAGCUGAUCCAUUGCCCUUACCAGGUGCAGUGCCAGGCUGGCACUGGCAGUUCUGGGUGGCUGGGGAAGGUGCAAUGCAGGCUGAGCAACUUGGAGAGAAAAGCUGCCAGAGAUUUGUGGAUUCAGGACUCUUUUUGUCCUAUGACGCUCUGAUGGACAUACUAUAUUCUGGAAGUGUUAAAAGUAUAGCCAGAUUCAUUCACCUGUGGCAGGGAGUCCGCUGAAAGCCAGCCCAGCCCCGGCCUCAGCCCAUCCCCGGCCACAGCUCAGUUUAGCCGGGAGCCGACACAGCCGCCGCUCUGCUGCUCCCCGCAUCCUGCACCACCGCCACCUGCCCCAGCCUUGCAGGGCGUGAUCUCUGCCACAGAAACCGCGGAUUUUUUCCUACCAAAACGGUGUCUUUGCAGCUAAAAAGGUGUUGUUUUGAUGCUUACAGAAACUUGUGAAAGAAAUGAACAGCAGGAAAUCUUAGCUGGAGCAGUAAUGCAAAUAGUAAUAACACCAAUAAAAAGAAAACUUCCACAAUCAGCCAAAUGUUUGCUCUAAAUGACAGCAGUAAGGAAAUAUAUAUAUUUAUAUGGGUAUAACAUAGAGUUAUGUGUGGGUGAGUGUGUCUGAGCUAUAGUGCAGGGAGGAUGCUACUUAUCCUUGGAUCCAGGGCAGGUCUAACAGUGAUUCGCAUCCUCGAUUCAUAUUUCAGAGGGUAAUCAACUUAAAACCAGCCGUGAUGGUAACACAAUUCCACAGUAUGACUGCAGGACAUAGUUCUCAGAAACAUAAUAAAUAAAUUUCAUAUUAUUUUACAGAAUUGGAAAACAUGCAGUUUAGAAGCAUAACUACACAGUGUGUGCAACACUUUCAAUACAUGCUGACAUUCCAGUUCACUUACUAUUGCGCAUGUGGGCAAAUGCAAAGUCUUUCCCUAAAUCAACACUGUGUUGCACAGACCAGUCGACUGUAUAGAACCAUUGGCAAAUAUGUUACAUGGAACUUUUCCAGUAUUUCUGUUAAAUUUUGCUAUUUCUGUGUAUGUAAAUUUAAAUUUAGCAAAUUCACCUCAUGGCAAUGUAGUACUCUACAGUCCGUACUUGAGGGAAUAUUUGGUCUUAAUGUCUUUAGUAAAAGAGCUUUAAUUACCUUCAUCUCAAUGCUGGCUGAUGUGAAGGUUAUUCUCUCCACUUUUCCAAGAAAAGUAUAAUACUUUGCUAUUUAGAAAAUGAAAAUACAGGUUAUUCAGCAUGCCCUACAAGUUAAGAAACUCAGGCUGUGUCAGGUAACAAGGGAGAGCAGAUCACCAGUACAGAUUCUGAACAGAAAACACACCAUAUGCAGCUUGCUGGAGCUCAAGGCUCAAUCUUUGCACCUACUAAAGAAAAAAAAUAAACAAAACAAAACAAAACAAAAAACAAACCACUGCUUCCAGUGCCGUAGUGGCAGACCCAGCUAUCAAAGAGCUGAAACACCUUUCUGAUUUCAUUUGUUGUGGCAUAUGUUCUAGGAGAGGGCAGGAGCAACAAGUUAUCAAAUCCUAAUUAAUAAUAAAGUUGAAGGUAUUUUAAUGCAUUUGCUUUGUGCAUGUCAACUGUCAGGUCCAAAGCAACUCCAAAAUCCAUACUAAUGAAAAAUCUUAGACUAAAAUAUCCAUAUAUUAGGUUCUCUGACUGCUGCAACUGACACAGUACUAACCCGUACCUAUACGACUCCAUUUUGUUGUAAUACUUUAUACAAAUGAAAUCCUUUAGCAUGAGAAUGAAGACAACAUCCUGAAAACAAGAAUAAAGUUGUCUAUUAAGAUGCAAACAUAAAUGCAAACUGUUUGCUUCAUUUUCUCUUCUUUGAGUUACAAAUUUCUUGCUGUCAUGAAAAACCUUUUCAUCUUUUCCUGAAAUCCAUCACUGUGGCACUCGGUUGACAAAUGUAUUCAUCACAGUAGUGUAUUUCCCAGAGAUUCCUGUCUUCUGCCUCAAGCACUUUAUUCCUUUAGAUGAUAAAAGCAUUUUGCUGAGAAGAGUUUACAUACAUACCUGUGUGGCUGUAGGCUCACGCACAUCAUCAAAGUAUUAAAAAUAAAUUGCACUUCUAAGAAAAAAAUCAGCUUUAAGGACGGAUAUUCUUUAUGACAGAAUCUUGUUUCCACAAUGGCUGCACAGUGAUCAUCCUUCCACUGUGUUUGGACAGUGAAAUGCUCUCUGAAUGUAGCAAUUAAGGAGCAUGCAAGUGUAUUUUAUGAACUUAAAAGUUUUUUUGGAGGUUCUUAGCGUGUGACAAUGCAGCUACAUUACUACAUUUGGAUGUGCAGUGGCCAUUUACGUGAGAUGGCAUCAGGCAACACAUUAUUAUGAGGUAAGAAUAUGUGUGUAUAACUACUACAUUUUGGUUUAUAUAGUUGUCUGAGAGGAAUGAGAGCUGAGAAAGUUGACCAUUACUGCAAAAACUGUGGUAUUGGAAAAAUAAGCUUUUCUUCACUUUUCCUUAGAGACACUGUUCCCUUUUUAAUGGCACCUAUUUCUGGAGUGUUGGGUGCGAAAGGGGCACCUGUGAAAGCAGAACCCCAACUUGUCCUCUUUUCUGAGCUCAUAUUGUGUUACAUGUAGCUAAUUUUCACAGGUCUCAUUUCCAGUGGAAUUUCGCUAGUGGAAAAAAUGUCUUUUCCCUUGUUCCUCUACCCCCACCCUGGUGACCACUUCAGUGCUUUAUAGCCAAAUAUGUAAACUAUUUACUGGAAUCACUUUCCCACAAUUGAAACCAAAUCAGUCCAGAAGCAAAAAGCAGAAAAUAUAGUCAAUAAGGGAUCUUCAUCUCAUCAGGAGAGGAAAUUUAUGUAUGCAGAAAUCCUCUUCUCUAAACAGGCAGCUUGUUGCAAUAUUAGAAUUACAUCAUCCACCAUCAGAAAGUAAGGGGUUUGGAUGCCCAGAAAUUUCUCAUUCAGAAGUCAAAUCCUCUCUUUUGCUUCUCACAUGAAAAUCAGUCCUUCCAUUUUAAUACUUUCACUACUUCCACUUAAUACUUUGCUACAGAACUGGUGCAAUGCAUUUCAACAAAAUAUCCCUGUGUAGCAGGUGAAACUUCCCAACAAGAUUUCCGUGGUGCAUAAAACUUUCAGCUAGCCAAGGUGACUGACCAAAACUCACCCCUCUCAUUGGGCUUAGGGUGCUUCAUGUUGGGUGUUAGUCUUUAAAGAACUGGCCAAGCCAGAAAAAAUAAUUUGCAAAUCACAUCCCACUGGAGUUUCCAGUUAUUCAAUACUGUCCACUCUGAUAUACAAUGAGUCUAAAAAAAUCCCAAAACAUUUUGAGGCAUUUGGUUAUUUAUAUAAACAAAGCAGAGUAUUUUGUUGAAUAAAUUAAAAGUAAGUAAAAUAUUCCAUUUUGUUUAUAUAUAGAGAUAUGUAAGAAAAUAUUCUAGUCUAUAAACAAUAAUUCAAGGUAGGUUGAUGUGGGACUGUAUAAGGGUGCUGAUAUUCAUUGUGUUUUGAGAAGGUGUCAUCUUGGGGUGGGCUAAUAGCAAAAAAUAUAUUAUGGCUUUUUUCUCUUUCCAUGUCUCAGGUCAUUUUAAAGAUAAAAUUUAUUUCUUUAAUGUUUAUUAUAUUCAUUUUAGCUUCACAGCUACUCAGAACUAAGAAUUUUUAAAGAUCUCAUUCCCAAAAGCAUGCAACUUCAUUUCACUAUGCUUGGGCAGUUUGGAGACAGUAAAAAAAGAACUCAUAAGAAGAUUUCAGAUAAACUUCUCCUCUGUGUCAGCCCAGAGGCCAGGGUCCUUUGUACCUUCCCUAUGCCUCUUUGAGACCCUAUCCUGAUGAAGAGAUAAACUUAAUUUAUGGGGGGAAAAGUUGCAUGUUAUUAAAACUAGAAGAAAUGUGAACAAGAUUUCUAAUAUGCAAUUCCAGAUAAAAGUGCUACUUUUGUAAAAGCCUCCUUUGUAUCCCCUUUUUACAAGCAUUACUGUGUACUUUUUACCAGUAAUACUGUAAAAUAGGCAACAUAAGGACACACCAAACAUCUUGCAAACUUCCUGCAACAUUUUUCCAUUUCUUGCCAUUGCUUCCUCAUUCUAUAUAUUCUUAAUUUUCAAUUUUCUCUCACUUCUACUCGAUUUUUUCUUAGAAUACAAGACUGAUAGGAACUUAGAGCUGUUUUGCUGGCCCCUGUCCCUUGCUGAUUGUUCAAAGGACACUCAUAUUUGCCCUACUCUCCUCUGGAUAUUAAUUUUUUUCCUUGAAUAAGGAGGGCAUAGGAGUUCUCUCAUCUCCUGUCUGCACCAGACAGGUAUUAAAUUGGUCAAAUGAGCUACCAUAAGCAUAAUGGUGCUUUAGAAGUGCCAAUCAAUGAUAUUUGAUUGAUGAAGACAUUAUGAUACUUAAUAUGUUUCCACUGCAAUCAGUAGCUAUGAACAGCAAACAAUUCAAAAUGCAAUCUCUGGGACAGAACUACAAAACCUUGACUGGUUUAGAUUUUUAUGGAUAAAAUCUGUCACAAAAUGUGUAAAAGUCUUUAUGAUGAUGCUUCCAGCAUACUAUUAUAAAAUGAGUGUGGUUUCCAUCUAGCUCCCCAGAAGUGCUGAUUCAGGGCCAUAAAGAGAAAUGCAUCCCUCUGUAGGAAACUAUAACAUUUCUAUCGAUUUCGGACACCUUGUAUUCUGUGCAAAAAUAAAAUUAGCCCUGCUUUAAUUUAGGAGUACAGGGCAGUGUUUGGAGGAGAUCAGUGGCAAUGAGGACUCCUGGAUUCUAUUCCUAGCCACAGCAGUGACUCAUGCCAUGACCUUGUGUAAGCCUGUUGACCUCUGUGCCUGUUUACCCACGUUGAACAAUGAAAAAAGAAUGAAUACCUACUUCACUGGGGUUGAAGCCCUCAGUCAGAAAGAGCCAAGUAUACAGGCAUUCCUGGCAAAGUAAAUAAAUCAAGAGGACGUUUAUGAUGAGCUCAAAAAUAUCUCCAGUAUGAGGUUUCUGUGGUCUCUUCAAUUUGAUCCCGUUAUGUAUUUCAGUGCAGCACAUACGGUCCUAUCUUUAAAACACUGGGUAGUGUUACGUGCUGUGGGAUAAGUUACAGCAUGAAGAUUUAAUAUUAACGUUAAUGGGAGCUCUGCAGUCAAAGCCUAUGGCUCUCUGCUGAAAGUGUGCCCUCAGGAGAGCUGGGCUGCUAAUAAUUUACAAAUAGUCCAAUUAAAAAGUGUUGUGGAAAUUUCUACCUUCUGCAGACGUCUAUCAGAAAUGCUGUGGCUUUCGGCAUGUUUGUGUGUCAAUACUCAGACUUGUGUGAAAUACUCUGUGAAUGUUCCUAAGGGACACUUGGGCAGUUACUCACCCUUUAACAAAACAUUUAAAAACACUCAUUUCCUUGCAGCAUUGUUACAUCUAACUUCUGAGGUUUCAUUUCUGUUCUGUUUCUGUCACUCUGCAGUCAAAUACUGUAUUUUGCGGGACGCUAGCAGAUCAGACAAUACUGAUAUUGGUUAUAGUCUCAUUAUUUUUUAUUUCAGUUCUAAUAACCAUUUGGGCUGCUUUUCUCAGAAUAAGAAUUAAGGCAGCAAUUUAUAUUGUGACUUGAGUAAAAAUAUCCACAUGCAACUGAUUGGUAUCAGGGAAACAACACUCAGAAAAUCCCCCACUUCUGUGUUAUCCACCUUCAUGUAUGCAAGCCAUCUCAACAACCUCUCAUGCUUAAACUGAAACAGACAGGUAUCUCCAAGAUCCAUAUUUUUACUUCUGCAUUUUACCAUUUGAACUUUUUCAUGCUAUAUUAUCUUGUAACCCAAAGGGGGGAAAAAGCAAAGAUCAGUGGUCAGAGAUCUGUUGGUUGAUGACACAUGUAAGUGCAGAUGGUACAGCCAACAGGCCUGUCCUUGGCUGUAUCCUGAGUACUGGAAUAAGGAGCUGGGAAACCAGUAAUGUAAAGAUUUGCCUUCCCCCAGUGAAUCAGGACCUGGCUCCACCAGGAGCUGCACCAGGUGCUCCUGAGACGGGUGAGACAUUUUCAGGUAGUAUAAACUGUCUACAUAAAUUGCUCAAAAUAGCAGGUGAGCUGAAAGUAGAUGUUUUUUCUGAAUAACUCCAUCAACUCACAAGCUUCACAGGGAGAAGAACUUUUAUCAGCUUGCAGACAUUCUUUUCUCCUUGAAAAGGAGCAGUCUAAUUUGGGGACAGACAAAGGCAAUGCUUCCUGAUGUCAUUUUCUCCUUCACUGACUGCAUUGAUAAAAUUAUCUCUAAUUUCCACAACCAUUGGUCUCUUUACCACAUUGUUAUCACAGUCCUUAACUGUUUUGCAUAGUGUCAAAAUCUACCGGUUUCAUAUUUUCAAUUUACAAAAUACUUCUAUUCACAAACAAACAAAUUAAAACCCAAACAAAACCCCAAACAAACAAACCCCAAAACCAUAGGUACACAAAUAAUAAAUUAGAGGGCUCUUUGAAAUUAGUUAAAACAUUUGCUUAUCAUAAUCAGCAUUUCUGGACAUAUCCAGAUGUCAAAAACGUUCAUUUAAAAAAUGUGUCAAUGUUGUUUUUUCCUUUGCCUGGUAAAAUUGGACUACAAUUAUUAACUGGUUAAAAUAAAAUAACCCAAACAAACACAUUCCAUCAGAUCACUGGUAUUGAAAGCUAACUAAAAUAUCUGCCUCAGCUAGCAUCUAUAGAAAACCCUUCUGUUUCAUGCUGCCAGUCUCCAGAAGAACAUGUCCGUGUGCCAGGCUCCUGCUGGAAUCCAUAACAAGCACAUGAGUGAGGGCAAAACCACACAAAUGAGUGUUCACAGAGAACACACUCAUUGCUUUAUUAAACAUUCGUUUUUCUUAGGUUAAUCAAAAAGUCUAAGUAGAUUUAACUGUUUGUGGAGCAUUAAGAAGUCACAGUCUAUUCUGAAGCUACAAGAAAAUCAAGAAACUUUAAACAUUCAUAGCAGCAUUGUCUGUAGCAGUAUGCAAUUCCAAAAAAUCUGUCUCUCGAGUCUGCUGGGUUUUUUUGGGGGUUUUUUGGAGGGGAAAUGAACAUUCAGGAGAAAAUAACUCUUCCCAAUCAUAGUUACCAUGCUGAGCUGGCUGGCUGCAGGAUUAUUUUAUGGAAGAGCAGCACAGUCUGAUUUCAGUGUCCUGUAGGCUGCUUCUCGUUCCUUUCACAAGAGGUUUUUCAAGCCCCACCUACGUCCUACCUAUCCUAAUGUCACUUUGUGCUUGAUGUACAACAUACAGUAAGCCUGUAAAUUAUCUGUAAAAAUGCCAAAUCAGAGCGUUGCACAUGACACCUCUGCUGGUCCUCUGCCAAAAGAGGUGAACAUUGAAUAAACACAUUGCAAAGCCA